GGGGAAGCAAUGGUAUCGACAAGUUGAGUAGCGAAAGCAAGACGAUUAUCGCCCAAGUGUAAAGUCUCGCUCUUCUUGGACGAGGGUUCGACUCCCUCCUUCUCCACCA
rnacentral:tmRNA from 1 species